GGGAGUAACUACUGGAAACGGUAGCUAAUACCGCAUAAUGUCGCAAGACCAAAGUGGGGGACCUUCGGGCCUCAUGCCAUCAGAUGUGCCCAGAUGGGAUUAGCUAGUAGGUGGGGUAAUGGCUCACCUAGGCGACGAUCCCUAGCUGGUCUGAGAGGAUGACCAGCCACACUGGAACUGAGACACGGUCCAG
rnacentral:rRNA from 1 species